AGGUAGGUAUAUAGAUGCAAAAAACCAAAAUAUUUUUUUGGAGGGAGUUUAACACCUAACAAUAUUGAAUAUGUUUACUUGGUAUUUACUUUAUUUUACAAGGGCUUGAUUUGGGUGGAUUGGAUAAGUUUUAUGAGCUCAGUACCCUCAAGACCUCCUUUAUUUGCACCUACAGGUUAGGUUAGGUGAAUUAAUACGUGAACAACUGAACACAGAAUCCGGAAACACUUGUUUGUACACACAAUUUGUACUAACAUAUACUUGAUACACGAGAAUUUAAGUUCCGAGUUCAUUUGUUUUAGUAUUAUUCGUGUAUUCA